rnacentral:rRNA from 1 species
GAUGAACGCUGGCGGCGUGCCUAAUACAUGCAAGUCGAGCGAACAGACGAGGAGCUUGCUCCUCUGACGUUAGCGGCGGACGGGUGAGUAACACGUGGAUAACCUACCUAUAAGACUGGGAUAACUUCGGGAAACCGGAGCUAAUACCGGAUAAUAUAUUGAACCGCAUGGUUCAAUAGUGAAUGACGGUUUUGCUGUCACUUAUAGAUGGAUCCGCGCCGCAUUAGCUAGUUGGUAAGGUAACGGCUUACCAAGGCAACGAUGCGUAGCCGACCUGAGAGGGUGAUCGGCCACACUGGAACUGAGACACGGUCCAGACUCCUACGGGAGGCAGCAGUAGGGAAUCUUCCGCAAUGGGCGAAAGCCUGACGGAGCAACGCCGCGUGAGUGAUGAAGGUCUUCGGAUCGUAAAGCUCUGUUAUUAGGGAAGAACAAAUGUGUAAGUAACUAUGCACGUCUUGACGGUACCUAAUCAGAAAGCCACGGCUAACUACGUG